CCCUUUCCCCUCCGGCCUCUGCCGGUGCUGCUGCGCCCUGCGGAGCUCCGAACACGUGCGCGGAGUCCCAUAGAGCCUGACUCCGAGAGCCUCGAUCUCCCAGGGCCAGAGGCAGGGACUUUGGAAGGUUUGUGAGGAACAAAUGUCCGGUGGAACUGAGUCAGCCCCUUUAACCCGAGCCUUGAAAGGGGCAGGCUAUUUUUAGAUCUGUUUUUAGACCCAGCGAACAAUGAACCCUCUCUACUCAUUUUCCUGUUCCUCUAAAUUAUUUGGAGGAAGUCAGGAGUGAAAUUUGGGGAUGGCUGGAAAAAGAGAGGCUGGCUGUGGCAGAUGCAACUGCAGGAUGACUUGAAAGUAGGGCAUCCUUCACCCAUCUGAAGGGAGGAAAUAGUGGCAGGUGACAGUCUGCAUGUGCAGUUUUCAGAUGCCUUCACCUGAAUGACAUCUACCUCCAUCAGGACCCCAGAUGUCUGACAGCCCUGUGUGACACCAAGAUAAGUAACGAUCCCGUUGAAGAUACCACAUUACACUUAGGCUCCUGUUGGCCAUGACAGCUUCUUAGACUUGUUUUUAAUGACCUUGACAGUUUUGUUUUUUUGUUUGUUUGUUUUUGAGACGGAGUCUCUGUCAUCCAGGCUGGAGUGCAAUGUAAUGGCUCAAUCUCAGCUCACUGCAACCUCUGCCUCCCGGGUUCAAGUGAUUCUCCUGCCUCAGCCUCCCCAGUAGCUGGGAUUACAGGCAUGAGCCACCGUGCCCGGCUGCCUCCUAAAUUCUCAAAACAUUCCAUUUUUAUUCUGUGGUCUUACUUUAUUCUGUCAUGUAGAGAAUAGUGGUUGAGCCUGUUGUCUUUUGAGAGUGGAUGCUGUAGUCCUUACAUGGCUGACUUUCAGCCCGUAAGCUUAUAGUAGAGGAUGGGGAUUUUGUUAUCAGCUGCUAAAAGGGAGAAGCCAAGCCCAGAACUAAGGGUUCUGAUGAGUUGAAGGAGAGGGAAGAUGCCCCUCAAGGCAAAGAGCCUCUGAGUUAGAAUCUGUGCUUCACCAGAGUGACAAUGGUAGAACUUCUCCUUCUCAGUAUUAAUUCUCCUGGAGAGAACUCUAGGGUUGUCUAAACCUGUUCAACUAGGCUGACUACCCCAGCAAGUGAUGGGUUGGACAUAAGGCAAAGAACAGGAGGGGUGAAAGGGGGCAGAACAGACAAGUUCUGUCCCAGCCUCUGCUACCUCUAACCCCAUGGCAUUCUAUCCUUUUCUACACUGGGCUUCCAUUUCUUACCCCAACAAUGAUCUGUUCUUCCAGGUGCCGUCAUUUAAUUUCCCAGACACUUGACCUCCUUCUGAUUUGUGUACUCCCUCCAAGGCUGAGUUGCAGUGAGUGACAAUAAUCUGUGCUAAUUACUUAUCUUGCCAGAAGACUCAAAGGGUUUAUGGCUUUUACUAACUGAACUCUAUGCUAGAUGUUAGGGAUAAAUGGUUAACAGGACACAGUUCUUGCUUAUCUUGCUAUGGUCUGUCAAGCCUUAUACAAUCUAGCCUUAUCUCUCUCACCGUCUUAUCUUUAUCACCCGUAGAUUCCCUUGUUGGCCACUGGUUUCUUUCAGUCCUUAAUUAGCCUUUUGUCACUACCUGUCUACACAUGCUGUUUUUCCCUUCUCAUUCCAUCUUGACAUUGUCUAUUUUGAGAUCUCAGCUCAGUUGCAGAGAAGCUGCCUUCCCCAUCUGGCAACCCAUUAUAUGUGUCAUAGUACCAUGUUGUACCAUAGAGCUAGACACAGGUGCCAUGUUGUGUCUUGAAAUGUAUUCACCAGCUUCCAAAGGUUUACCUCAAUCCCCUUUACUCAAGAAGCCUCAGUUCUACUGACAGUUGGUAAUAAUAACCUCUCUGUCAUAAUGUACCCAAAAUAGAGUAAGAAUAUCAUGCUUUUCAGUAAUACUCCAGUGAAUGAGGCUAAGAGUACCAUUUUUGUUCUUAUAAAAGAAUUUUUUUGGACAUGAAUACAAAGAUGUCAGGUUACCAAAUCAUUUGCUAGUAGAUCCUAACAAUAUCACCUAUAGGAAACUGAACGUAGCCUUUAAACAUUAAGUGAUGAUAAUGGAUUUGGCCGGGCGCGGUUGCCUAUAAUCCCAACACUGAGAGGCUGAGGUGGGUGGAUCACUUGAGGCCAGGACAGGACCAGCAUGGCCAACAUGGUGAAACCCCGUCUCUACAAAAGAAAAAAAUACAAAAAUUAGCUGGGUGUUGUGGUGUAUGCCUGUAAUCCCAACUAUUUGGGUGGCUGAGGCACGAGAAUCGCUUGAACUUGGAAGGCAGAGGUUGCAGUGAGCUGAGAUCGUGCCACUGCACUCCAGCCUGGGUGACAGACUGAGACAGUCUCAAAAAAAAAAAAAGAAAAUAAUGGAUUUGCAGAGACUUGCUAUUUAGAUUUCAGACAUCUGUUAACUAAAACACAUGUGUAGGCUUUUGUUACUUAUUUCAGUAAUCUGUAAAUAUCUUUAUAUUUGAGAAAAUUUGUGAGACAUCUUUGUGUAAAUUAUAACUUGAAGAACCUCUCUUACAAGCAGGCAUAUUGGUAAGUAGCUGCGAGGAUAUAACUUAUAACCAGAUUGAAGUGUAUAAUUAUAAUAUGUUAUUAUUCUGGGGUUCUAUAAAAAAUAAAAUCUUUGAAUCUA
rnacentral:lncRNA from 1 species